UACGUAGGUGGCAAGCGUUGUCCGGAUUUAUUGGGUUUAAAGGGCGCGUGGGCGGCGCUCCAAGUUAGGCGUGAAAGCCCCGGGCUCAACCUGGGAAUUGCGCUUAAGACUGGAGUGCUCGAGUGCGGAAGAGGUGAGUGGAAUUCCCAGUGUAGAGGUGAAAUUCGUAGAUAUUGGGAAGAACACCAGUGGCGAAGGCGGCUCACUGGUCCGCAACUGACGCUGAGGCGCGAAAGCGUGGGGAGCAAACAGG
rnacentral:rRNA from 1 species